AUGAACGCUAGCUACAGGCUUAACACAUGCAAGUCGAGGGGCAGCAUGGUCUUAGCUUGCUAAGACUGAUGGCGACCGGCGCACGGGUGAGUAACACGUAUCCAACCUGCCGUCUACUCUUGGACAGCCUUCUGAAAGGAAGAUUAAUACAAGAUGGCAUCAUGAGUCCACAUGUUCACAUGAUUAAAGGUAUUCCGGUAGACGAUGGGGAUGCGUUCCAUUAGAUAGUAGGCAGGGUAACGGCCCACCUAGUCUUCGAUGGAUAGGGGUUCUGAGAGGAAGGUCCCCCACAUUGGAACUGAGACACGGUCCAAACUCCUACGGGAGGCAGCAGUGAGGAAUAUUGGUCAAUGGGCGAGAGCCUGAACCAGCCAAGUAGCGUGAAGGAUGACUGCCCUAUGGGUUGUAAACUUCUUUUAUAAAGGAAUAAAGUCGGGUAUGCAUACCCGUUUGCAUGUACUUUAUGAAUAAGGAUCGGCUAACUCCGUGCCAGCAGCCGCGGUAAUACGGAGGAUCCGAGCGUUAUCCGGAUUUAUUGGGUUUAAAGGGAGCGUAGAUGGAUGUUUAAGUCAGUUGUGAAAGUUUGCGGCUCAACCGUAAAAUUGCAGUUGAUACUGGAUAUCUUGAGUGCAGUUGAGGCAGGCGGAAUUCGUGGUGUAGCGGUGAAAUGCUUUGAGAUCACGAAGAACUCCGAUUGCGAAGGCAGCCUGCUAAGCUGCAACUGACAUUGAGGCUCGAAAGUGUGGGUAUCAAACAGGAUUAGAUACCCUGGUAGUCCACACGGUAAACGAUGAAUACUCGCUGUUUGCGAUAUACGGCAAGCGGCCAAGCGAAAGCGUUAAGUAUUCCACCUGGGGAGUACGCCGGCAACGGUGAAACUCAAGGGAAUUGACGGGGGCCCGCACAAGCGGAGGAACAUGUGGUUUAAUUCGAUGAUACGCGAGGAACCUUACCCGGGCUUAAAUUGCAGAUGAAUUACGGUGAAAGCCGUAAGCCGCAAGGCAUCUGUGAAGGUGCUGCAUGGUUGUCGUCAGCUCGUGCCGUGAGGUGUCGGCUUAAGUGCCAUAACGAGCGCAACCCUUGUUGUCAGUUACUAACAGGUCAUGCUGAGGACUCUGACAAGACUGCCAUCGUAAGAUGUGAGGAAGGUGGGGAUGACGUCAAAUCAGCACGGCCCUUACGUCCGGGGCUACACACGUGUUACAAUGGGGGGUACAGAGGGCCGCUACCACGCGAGUGGAUGCCAAUCCCAAAAACCUCUCUCAGUUCGGACUGGAGUCUGCAACCCGACUCCACGAAGCUGGAUUCGCUAGUAAUCGCGCAUCAGCCACGGCGCGGUGAAUACGUUCCCGGGCCUUGUACACACCGCCCGUCAAGCCAUGGGAGCCGGGGGUACCUGAAGUGCGUAACCGCGAGGAGCGCCCUAGGGUAAAACUGGUGACUGGGGCU
rnacentral:rRNA from 1 species